rnacentral:rRNA from 1 species
UUCUUUUAGAAUUUAUUAAAAGUAAUUUCUGCUCAAUGAUAUAUUAAAUAGCUAUAUUUUAUACUAAGGUAGCAUAGUAAAUUGUCUAUUAAUUGUAGAAUAGAAUGAAAGAAAAAAUAGUUUGAAUCUGUCUUUAUAUAUUAUGUUUUAAAAUUAGAUUUUUUGUAAAAAUACAAAAGUAAAAUUUAGGGACAAGAAGACCCUAUAAAGCUUUAUAUUUGUAGUGAUUUUUUUACUAAAAGAUAUUUGAUUGGGGCAAUUUUUUACUUAAAGAAAAUGUAAAUAUAAAAAAAAUAUUAAACUAUAAUUAAUGAUCCAUUUAUAAUGAUUAAUUGAAAUAGUUACUUUAGGGAUAACAGGAUAAUUUUUGUUAAAAAGAUCAAAUUUAGAACAAAGUUUAUUACCUCGAUGUUGAAUUAAUUUAAUAAUACAGUGAAGAAGCUAUAUAUAUAUGACUGCUCGUCAAUUAAAUAAUUACA